CUUAGCUUCUUUAAUACGCUUCACUUCACUCCAAAACCCUAAUACCCAUCUCCUGCAUCCGGUUCUUCCUUCUUCAUCGAUUGAUCUUCGAAAAACAUAGAUUUCUUCAUCUUCAAUCGCGAGUGGAAGCAACCAGUCCUUAUUAUGCGGCGUAUAAGGUUUUCCGAUUAAAUUCACGUAUUGAAGUAGAUUUUGAGCAAUUGUCAGAGGUGACGUUGUUUGCUGACACUAUUACAGUUCAACAAUUGGGAGUGAUGAUUUGGCAUACCA